rnacentral:rRNA from 1 species
UACGUAGGUGGCAAGCGUUAUCCGGAUUUAUUGGGCGUAAAGGGAACGCAGGCGGUCUUUUAAGUCUGAUGUGAAAGCCUUCGGCUUAACCGGAGUAGUGCAUUGGAAACUGGGAGACUUGAGUGCAGAAGAGGAGAGUGGAACUCCAUGUGUAGCGGUGAAAUGCGUAGAUAUAUGGAAGAACACCAGUGGCGAAAGCGGCUCUCUGGUCUGUAACUGACGCUGAGGUUCGAAAGCGUGGGAGCAAAUAGG